GGGUGGGAGAGCAGGAAAACCUCUUAAAAGCAUACAAAAGAUCUGAUUGGAGAGUUUGACCCCACCAUGGAACACAGCCUCAAGAUCAUCCGUGGGAUUACAGACACUCUGAGACUUUACAAGGAAAUGUUUGAUGAGCUCAAGAAACAGCUGCAGCCGCCAAUCACAAUGCUUCUGACAAAGAAACCAUCACCACCAGUGGAUGUGCACAGGCAACCCUCCUCUGGAUCUUAACCACAGCCAAAAACGUCUUCUGGCUACCUGUCAAUCCCCACCUCUCACCCCGGUCCUCAUAUCAUUUGCAGCAAGUAUCCAGUGAGGGAGAGAAGGAGGAAAACUUAAGAGGAAGACUGAGGGCUGCAUUUGCCCCGCACUGAAUGUACAUGAUGACACCAAGAGACCACAUAUCGCAGGAUUUGUCAUACUUCUCAGGACCAAGGACUUCUGGGGCUGAGUGAGAUGGGGAAGAGAACCAAAAGAACUGUGAAUGUCAGUUUCUCUUAUUUUGAUCACAAACUACAAAUAUUUGCAUUUUUUUAAAUUAAAAAAGCUGUAACAGGUUGAAAGAUUACUUUAAGUGUUUGCACCUGAACUGCCCAUGGAUGCUGGUGAAGCUUGACAAACAUUUCAUGGUAUUUUUUCUUAAUUGGUGUUCCCCAUGCUCAGGCUUUGACUCCUGACUUCCUGAGCCAUCAGUGCUCUCAUCCCAUGCCGGGAAGACUGAGCACUGUGCUUUGAUGGUGCCAUCUAAGAUGCAGUAUCAGCCCGUCUGAGUCAUCAGACACCUGGGUCAAUUUCUGCUCACUAGGCCCUGUGAAGCCCUAGCCUCGUAGCAUGUUCCUCAGCCUGAUCAACUUGUUUCUUGGGUAAGGACACUGGCUGCCUAAGCUCCAGCCCACUAUCCUAUCUGUUUUGAACCAUGCACCAGAUCUGGCCCACUUGAACUGGCAAGCAAGAUCCUACCUGGUACCUGACAGCCUGGAGCCUGACCGUUGCAAAGAUCUGAAAAUGGGAGGUGGGGAGGGGUUUUUUCUAAAGCACAAUCAUGUUCUCCCCCUGGACUUAACAACUAGAGAGAAAAGUGGGGGGGGGAGGGGGACAUGCAGACUCACCUACGUAAUAGGGAGUAUAACAUGGGGUCUGCAGCGCAUUCUGCACCGUCGUCUCUUUGGCAAAUCCAAAGUCUGUAAGCUUCAGUACUGCAUCCUUCGCUUUAGAUGUAUAAAGCAGGUUUUCUGGCUGUGAUGGUGUCAAGAGAGAAACAUAAAAUGAGGCUGAACAGGAGAGGUUUCUGGGGGGGAAGUUCUAUUCAACUGUAGGCUUUGUUCCGUUCCUCUAGGCUGAUAGGUGGUGUAGUGCCCAGCAUCAAGUUUGUAUUUUAUUAUCAGUAGAUUGCAAUGUGGUGGUGCAGAUUUUAAAUAAACAUCAGGCCUUCUUCAAUAGGUCUUUUAAAAAUG